AACUUUCAAAUAUUCAGCAAAAAUAUCAAAUGGAAUGAAUUAAACAAACUGUGCAAAUCUCACCUGUGGUUAGGAUGCUGCUUCUCCUGUCUGUUGCUAUUGCAGAUGUUACACCAACAACAUGAGUAUCUAACAAACUGGAAGGCUAUUGAUACCCAGGAUACCCUGGCAAUAAUUUGGCAGGACUCCAAUAACACAAACACAAAAUAUUCAAUUCUAUCUUUUAUGAUUAUUCGACUGAUAUCUAGUACCUAGAUACAAGAUACUGAAAUAUAGACCUCCACAUAUUCUGUUAAGGUAUAAGCCUCGUACUCACCGUGUACUUGGUACAAAGAAACCAAAAUUGGACGUAUGAGUGAAAGAAAAGUGUUGCGGACAAUCGCAAACAACCGCAAUGGACAGGAGAAAGCAGCCCCUGACAGAAACGAAAACCAAACUGCUCAGACACUGUGUCAACAAUGUCUGACGAAUUGUCAGGAACCGCAAAAUGGUGUUGUUGCUAAUGUUGCUGCCCAGGCCGGGAGCCGGGUGUCGGGUCCAUGCCAGAUGACAAUGUCAACGAGGAGGUACUACGGUGGAUAGACAGGAUGCCAGUGGGAGCAUACAGGACGAACGGAACAUUCCCGAACAGAAAAGAAUAUAACAGGACGGAACGGAGAAACGGAACCCAGCAACAGGAUAGUGUGUGGACAAUUUGUGGGUGGAAAUUUGUGUGUUUUUCUGUUAGAUUUUAUUGUUAUCAUUUCAAUUUCAUACAUACAUACCAGUGUACGCCAUUCACGAUACAACA
rnacentral:sRNA from 1 species